rnacentral:lncRNA from 1 species
AUAAAAUCUGCAAACAGAAAAAGGACAGACCUGUUUUCGGAACGAGGCUUUUCGAGUUAUCACUUGGAGAGAGAGGUCCAGUGAGCAACAACGGCCAGAAAUUUCAGGGAGACCAUCUUGAACCAUCCAGCCUCCACCAGGCCAACAGCUGACAGCUGUCACAUGAAUAUGAUCAGCAGAAGAACCACUCAGGCAAGCCAAGCCCAAAUUGCCAAGCCCCCCAAAUAAUAAGCUAAUUGUUUUUUGUUUUAAGCCAUAAACUUUUGAGGUGGUUAUAUAGCAAUAAAUAACUGAAACAGGUGUUUAACUUUCUAGACUUUUUAAAUGACCAUAUUGAUAUAAUUGUAUUGUUCAACCUGUUUUGUAAAGUGAUUUCUCUGAUACAGUAUCUUGAAAAUAUUCCUUAACUAUUUUCUACAACUUUGCAUUUGUCUAUCUUAGUAUUAUAUUACAUGGAUAUGUGGUAACUUAUUUAACUACUAACUUCCCUUUGCAAUUCCUUUUCCUUGCUGUCUAGCUCCCAUGUCUUGACCAACUUUGCAUUCCCCUCCAGGACCUUAUGGGCACAUGGGUUCCUAUCAUUUCACGGGUAUGUAGACUCAGGAAUGUGGCAUUGACUUCUGGGUGGAGUACAGAUGACUGACACCCCCACCCCGAUUCGGA